CACGUAGGCGGCUCUUUAAGUCAGGGGUGAAAUCCUGGAGCUCAACUCCAGAACUGCCUUUGAUACUGAGGAGCUUGAGUCCGGGAGAGGUGAGUGGAACUGCGAGUGUAGAGGUGAAAUUCGUAGAUAUUCGCAAGAACACCAGUGGCGAAGGCGGCUCACUGGCCCGGUACUGACGCUGAGGUGCGAAAGCGUGGGAGCAAACA
rnacentral:rRNA from 1 species